rnacentral:lncRNA from 1 species
GUCUCAUCCCUUAAGGAGCUCACGGGUGCCUACGACGGGAGCUCGGACUCGUUUCUGCCCGUGUCCGAACGGCUGCGGGGGCAGAAGGGCAGCCGGGGGGAGCCAGGAGAGAGGGGCCCCCCAGGACGGGAGGGCUCCUUAGGCUUCCCCGGUGAGCGAGGACCCAAAGGUGACAAAGGGGACCAAGGCGCCCCCGGCCCCCAGGGCCCUGCAGGCCGGGCUGUGGGCGAGCGGGGCCCCGAGGGGCCGCCCGGGCAGCCGGGGGAGCCUGGCAAGCCGGGCAUCCCGGGGGUGCCGGGCCGGGCCGGGGAGCUGGGGGAGGCCGGGCGGCCCGGCGAGAAGGUGAGUGAGGGGGUGCGGGCUGGGGGACCUGGCCCCCGUGCUUGGGGACAGCUCCGUGACCUCCCACUGCCUCCUUUCCCCAGGGCGACCGGGGUGAGAAGGGCGACCGGGGUGAGCAGGUGAGCCCAAACCAGGACAGCGUCCCAGUGUCCCCCCUCUGUCCCCCGCUGCUGUGAUGGGGAGAUCCCCGGGGGGCACAGGGCUGCCCCAUGGGGGCCAGGGUCAGCCACGCAAGGGCUGGCUCUGCCCCCUUUUCCUCCGCUGUCCCUUUGAUGCUCCCCCUAUUUUCCUUAUGGCUAGGGCAGAGAUGGCUUGCCAGGCCCCCCAGGCCCCCCAGGGCCCAAGGUAGGUGACGGAUGCUGCCGGGGACCCUCUCCAAGAGGUGCCAGUUGGUGCCUCUGUGGUGGGCGUCCACGUCUGGCCCCCCGGCACAGGGGCUCAGGGAGGGCUGUGCCACUGGGGGACCUCCCAGGGGUCCCCUGGGUGCCAGCCCUGACGGCGCUGUGCCCGCAGGCAGAUGUGAUGGAGGGCAGCCUGAUGGGCUUCCCAGGGGAGCGCGGCCCCCCCGGACCCAAGGGAGCGAAGGGUGAGCCGGGUGCCGAGGGCGAGCGAGGACCCAAAGGAGAUAAGGGCGAAGGCGGGCCGCGGGGCGAGCGAGGAGAGCCUGGCGAGAAGGGCAGGGAUGGCUCCCCGGUGAGUAUGGCACUGGACCUCAGUCCCCAUCAUCCCCAUGGUCUCCAUCCCCAUGGUCCUCAUCCUCAUCCCCAUGGUCUCCAUUCCUGUCUCCAUCAUUCCCGUCCCCAUCAUCCCCACGGUCUCCAUUCCCGUCCUCAUCAUCCCCAUGGUCUUCAUCCCCAUCCUCAUCCUCAUGCUCAUGGUCUCCACCCCCAACUCCAUCAUCCCCAUCCUCCUCAUCCCCAUGGUCUCCACCUCCAUUUCCAUCUUCCCCAUCCCCCAUCUCCGUUCCCGUCUCCAUCUCCGUUCCCGUCUCCAUCUCCGUUCCCGUCUCCAUCUCCGUUCCCGUCUCCAUCUCCGUUCCCGUCUCCAUCUCCAUUCCCGUCUCCAUCUCCAUUCCCGUCUCCAUCUCCAUUCCAUCUCCACCAUCCCCGUGGCCCCAUCUCCACCCCACUGUCUCCACCUCUUCUUCCAGGGCCUUCCAGGAGAGAGGGGUCUGGCUGGCCCCGAGGGGAAGCCGGUGAGUGGGGAUGCGGGGGGGAUGUGUUCUGGGAGGGGUGGGAAGGUCCCGUGGUCCCACAGCAGCUGCCACCAGCCCCAGCGGGAGCAUUCACAUGUUGUUUGACUCCUUCCCUCCCCCACAGGGCCCGCAGGGCUUUAGAGGGCCCCCCGGCCCCCCAGUAAGUACCCCGCAGCCGGGUACUGCGCAGUGGCACCGUGCUCAUCCCCUGGGGAGCUUCUGGGGCAAGCGGGGCCGCUCGGAGGUGCCGGGGUCCCGCUUACCCCCUGGCUCUGACAUGCUUCUUUGCAGGGCUUGCCAGGCUUCCCCGGCGUGCUGGGACGCCCGGUAGGUGUCCGCCCCCCCCUGCAUGUCACCGUCCCCCUGCAUGUCACCGUCCCCCUGGCUCUUGCUCCGUGGGCGCUUGGCACGGCGCAUCCUGGUGGGAUCUGGCCGGGCUUGUCCCUGCUUGGUGUGGGUGCCCAGAGCCACCGUGCACCGGGGACCCGCUGACCGCAUCUCUUCCUCCCCCCCAGGGCAACCAGGGAGAGCCGGGGCCACCAGGACCUCCGGUAAGGACACCCCCCGUGUCCCCGUGCUGGGACCGCGCUGUCCUGCUGCCCCCUCCUCGUCCCGAGGAGCCGUGCCACCAGCAGGCACCACGAGGACAUAAUGUCACCUUGUUCCCUGCAGGGCACCGCUGGCCCCCCAGGGACGCAGGGCCCAGCUGGGAUGAAGGUACAUCAUCAUCAUCACCACCACCACCACAUUUGACCCUGCAGAAGAAAGCACGGUGCCCUGCUGGCACUGGGGGCCGUGGGGAAAAAAGUGGGGCUGGUCCCCUGCUGGAGCCAGCCCCUGGGGGGUUCAGGGGACGUGGGGACGCGGUGUGGCUGCGGUGGCAGGGGCGUCGGGGCACGGGGACCGAUGCAGGUGCUGUCUCCACAGGGUGACCCGGGGGAGCCUGGUGCCAGCAUCCGGGUGAGCCUCCACUCCCUCCCCACCAGCGCCAGCCUGGUCCCCAAACCCACAGCCCUUCCCAGGGGACAGCUGAUGUCCCGGCUGUCCCAGAGAGAUGUGCCAGGGUGGCAUCUCCUCUCUGACCCCGCUUUUUCCAUUGCAGGGCUUGCCCGGUCCCCAGGGCAGCAUGGGACUGCCUGGCCCCCCUGGCCCCCCCGGCCUGGU